rnacentral:rRNA from 1 species
GGCAGCACGGACUUCGGUCUGGUGGCGAGUGGCGAACGGGUGAGUAAUGUAUCGGAACGUACCUUUCAGUGGGGGAUAACGUAGCGAAAGUUACGCUAAUACCGCAUAUUCUGUGAGCAGGAAAGCAGGGGAUCGCAAGACCUUGCGCUGAUUGAGCGGCCGAUAUCAGAUUAGCUAGUUGGUGGGGUAAAGGCCUACCAAGGCUACGAUCUGUAGCGGGUCUGAGAGGAUGAUCCGCCACACUGGAACUGAGACACGGUCCAGACUCCUACGGGAGGCAGCAGUGGGGAAUUUUGGACAAUGGGGGCAACCCUGAUCCAGCCAUGCCGCGUGAGUGAAGAAGGCCUUCGGGUUGUAAAGCUCUUUCGGCCGGGAAGAAAUCGCAUAGGCUAAUACCCUGUGUGGAUGACGGUACCGGAAUAAGAAGCACCGGCUAACUACGUGC